GUUGGGGAGGAGCUCACCUACAGAGCAGGGGAGUGACUUUGAGGUGGAGACAGGAUCAAGGUGAUUCUGAGGAGAGGCUCUAGUGUCAUCAUAUACAGCAUGGUCUAAUGAUGUCAUGCAUCACAGGGGCACGGAAGGUGGGGAGGGGCACAGAAUCAAUUAGUCCCAGGUCCCACAUGCAGAUUAAUCCAGCUCUGGAUGGGCAACAGUAAGAAAUGAUUUUUCAGAGCAGAGCUUUGGGAAGAUUAUGAUAAAAGUUCUGCCUCCCUUUUCUUAGGUAACACCAUCCCGGAGACAACGAGAUGGAUGCGGCAGUGCCAGAACCGGGAAAGUUUCACCAGGAGCACACGGACAUGGGAUAAGUGCUACUUCUAUGUGAUUUCAGCCAAAGGGAGACCCCUUCCUUCUUCCUUAUCUUCUAUGGAGAACUCAGACCCGACUUUUCCACCGACGCCUCCUGUUCUUUCCGUGGUCUUUGCCACCGCCUGGCGUUGUCCUUGAGUCUGAGGAAUGGUUGACAGGCUGACGGAGAGGGCUGUAAAGUCCUCUAACUAUUGGAAAAGCAAUGCCCGAAAGUACUUCAAUACUAAAUCAGUCCCAUUUUGACAUGGACCAAGUCAUUACUCGAAGACAAAUGCUGAGGCUAUAGACUUAUUUGUAUCGGCUGAAGUUGACGGACUGAGCUUUGGAAAUUUUCCAUGACGGGAAAAUAGCAAGAGGAAAAAAAAAAAAAGGCUUUCUUGGCACAGUUGCCGGCUUGUCCGACGCUCGCCGCCUUUGAACCUUGCAACGACACCGUAAGCUGGAUUCCAAAGUGAUUCUGAGCCUGAGAAACCUAAAACCAAAAGGUCCUUGGAAGGCUCGGGCCUUUACCCUCUCCAAAUCCGAGCUGCCACUUGGUCAAACUUAACAAAACUCAAUGGUGCGGAUCGAACACUUGGGGAACGAAGACGAAGGAGGUGCAGGUUCGUGGGCGGGAAAUGGAAAGUUGGGCUGAAAAUAGGGCUGUGCUUCCAAGAGAUCCAUCUCAUGGUUUAGAAGCUUCCUACAUCUGCUGAAGACAAGGGAGCCCAUUUUUCUCUCCAGGGCCUGGC
rnacentral:lncRNA from 1 species